UCUUUCGUGGUUUAGCGGUAGAAUGUCGCCUUGUCAGUCUCUUGGCUGCAACAAGACAAGUGUACCCCCUGCACGUGCACGGCGGAGUCCCGGGUUCGACUCCCGGCGAGAGAG